ACAAUCUCUAUAUGGUAAUUCAAUUUUUUUGUGUGACAUGUAUUUAGAAUAUGUACUUCAUCUGUACAUCCACUUGUCUUUAAGCUAAAAUGUGGGAGCUUGAACAUAGGCUAUCUGAGAAGCUAUAUAAUGCAUUGUACUAAGGAGAUUAUGGAAUACCAACAAUUCAUACUAUUUACCAAUCCCAAAAAAAAAAAAAAAAAAAACUUUCAAGAUAAGUGGUUCUUGAAAAACUGAUAUAUGCGCUCAACGACCUCUGCCAUGAAGUGAAUGUAAAGACAAUUAUAAAUUAUUCCCAUGGACAUAUGACCCUUUAUCAAAUUCUAUAGCUCUCUACUCAGAUCCUCUUCCACUUCACUUACAUUGACCGUGUAGAAGAUUCUGGUAGAUUACUGAAGUAAUAAUCUAAAUUAAGCUAUAUCAGUUAUUUCCUAGGUGCCUUCAAUUUGUUUGUAAAUUAUAGAUUUGGUCAGUUGGUGAAAAUAUAGUACUUUACAACUCAUAUGGUACUUUGAAAAUGAAGGAGCUUAAUUGCUCCCUGAGCCAUAAUAAGUGGAAUUAGAGAAAAAGUGGGUUAAUUUCAAAGAUGUUAAAAGAACAUGAGGACUAAUGAUCUAAUGAUGGAUCACAAAUAGGUAGUAUUGAAGUCGAGGAUUACAAGAUAAUUAUAAGGUUAUAAUCAUAGCAUUCAAUUCUACAUAAAAUUGUGCU